rnacentral:rRNA from 1 species
UACGGGGGGUGCAAGCGUUGUCCGGAAUUACUGGGCGUAAAGAGCGCGUAGGCGGGUACUUAAGUCAGGGGUGAAAUCCCGCAGCUCAACUGCGGAAUUGCCCUUGAUACUGCUGGACUUGAGUUCGGGAGAGGGUGGCGGAAUUCCAGGUGUAGGAGUGAAAUCCGUAGAUAUUCGGAGGAACACCGGUGGCGAAGGCGGCUUCCUGGACCGAUACUGACGCUGAGGUGCGAAAGCGUGGGGAGCAAACAGG